rnacentral:rRNA from 1 species
GGAGGCAGCAGUGGGGAAUAUUGCACAAUGGGCGCAAGCCUGAUGCAGCCAUGCCGCGUGUGUGAAGAAGGCCUUCGGGUUGUAAAGCACUUUCAGUCGUGAGGAAGGUAGUGUAGUUAAUAGCUGCAUUAUUUGACGUUAGCGACAGAAGAAGCACCGGCUAACUCCGUGCCAGCAGCCGCGGUAAUACGGAGGGUGCGAGCGUUAAUCGGAAUUACUGGGCGUAAAGCGCAUGCAGGUGGUUUGUUAAGUCAGAUGUGAAAGCCCGGGGCUCAACCUCGGAAUAGCAUUUGAAACUGGCAGACUAGAGUACUGUAGAGGGGGGUAGAAUUUCAGGUGUAGCGGUGAAAUGCGUAGAGAUCUGAAGGAAUACCGGUGGCGAAGGCGGCCCCCUGGACAGAUACUGACACUCAGAUGCGAAAGCGUGGGGAGCAAACAGGAUUAGAUACCCUGGUAGUCCACGCCGUAAACGAUGUCUACUUGGAGGUUGUGGCCUUGAGCCGUGGCUUUCGGAGCUAACGCGUUAAGUAGACCGCCUGGGGAGUACGGUCGCAAGAUUAAAACUCAAAUGAAUUGACGGGGGCCCGCACAAGCGGUGGAGCAUGUGGUUUAAUUCGAUGCAACGCGAAGAACCUUACCUACUCUUGACAUCCAGAGAACUUUCCAGAGAUGGAUUGGUGCCUUCGGGAACUCUGAGACAGGUGCUGCAUGGCUGUCGAAAGG